UACGAAGGGUGCAAGCGUUAAUCGGAAUUACUGGGCGUAAAGCGUGCGUAGGCGGUUGGCUAAGUCUGUCGUGAAAGCCCUGGGCUCAACCUGGGAAUGGCGAUGGAUACUGGCGAGCUAGAGUGUGAUAGAGGAUGGCGGAAUUCCCGGUGUAGCGGUGAAAUGCGUAGAGAUCGGGAGGAACAUCCGUGGCGAAGGCGGCAUCCUGGACCGAGAUCGACGCUGAGGCGCGAAAGCUAGGGGAGCAAACGGG
rnacentral:rRNA from 1 species